GGUAUUACAAAGAAUCAAACAGCAAUUUCCAAUCGUCGUUCUAUUUCGAAAGACAAAACUCUGGCAAAGCUUUUCUUGUACACAUCCUGCCUCGUGACCCUGUCUAAACUGUUGCGUUGCUGCACUCGUUAUGCGUGUGCUGGUGUGCACAAAGGCAGUAUAUAGAAUAUAUAUAGAACCAUGCAAUAAUCAUACACUUAAAUGUUCCUUUUUUUUCCCAGAUCGGUUUUCAAAUUCAGAAGCCGACGAAUUUCGGAAGUACAGUUUUUGCAGAGAAAAUCAUCGUUAUAAACUUUCGUUCAAGCUAUCAAAGUUUACUAUUACUCGUACCCAGGCGUCUCUUUGUAAAAAACAGUGAUGCGCAUAGGACGAGUUUACAUGAAGUAUUGUAGUGGGGAUAGAUGGGCGAAGGGGC
rnacentral:lncRNA from 1 species